UAAACGACCUUCCGUGUAAUACCAUUUUUAUUAACCGAGUUAAUGAUUUUGGUAUCAAAAGAGCGAAAGCUCGUUUGAUACUAAAUCUGUCACAAGUUUAAUAAAAAUGGUAUUUCGUGGAAGCGAGUUUAGUAUUCUUUUUAUUACUUUCCAACAUACUUUGAUAGAAACUGCCUACAAAUAUUGUGAUGACUUU